rnacentral:rRNA from 1 species
AACGAACGCUGGCGGCAUGCCUAACACAUGCAAGUCGAACGAGACCUUCGGGUCUAGUGGCGCACGGGUGCGUAACGCGUGGGAACCUGCCCUUAGGUUCGGAAUAACUCCCCGAAAGGGGUGCUAAUACCGGAUAAUGUCUUCGGACCAAAGAUUUUUCGCCUUUGGAUGGGCCCGCGUUGGAUUAGCUAGUUGGUAGGGUAAAAGCCUACCAAGGCGACGAUCCAUAGCUGGUCUGAGAGGAUGAUCAGCCACACUGGGACUGAGACACGGCCCAGACCCCUCCGGGGGGCGGCAGUGGGGAAUUUUGGACAUGGGGCGAAAGCCUGACCCACCAAUGCCGCGUGAGGGAUGAAGGCCUUAGGGUUGUAAAGCUCUUUUCCCCGGGAUGAUAAUGACAGUACCGGGAGAAUAAGCCCCGGCUACCCCCGU